rnacentral:lncRNA from 1 species
AAAUGAACGGUCAAGAAAAUAUCAAACUGAAAGUCUGCCACGACUAUGUGGGAUUUGCCACGGCCCGUACGUGUUGAUCUGACUACAGUCGUGACAGACUCAAUAGAGGAAUUCAACAGUUUUUGUCUUUUCAUUUCACUCUUAAAAAUGUCCAUUAUCUCUAAUAAAACUCCAAUGAGUCAAUGAUUAUUGAGAUCGACCAAAUUAAGGUCUCUUAGGCUAUAAGUAGGACCUCAUACUCUUGUAACAAUCCAU